UACGUAGGGGGCUAGCGUUGUCCGGAAUCAUUGGGCGUAAAGAGCGUGUAGGCGGCCCGGUAAGUCCGCUGUAAAAGUCAAAGGCUCAACCUUUGAAUGUCAGUGGAUACUGCCAGGCUAGAGUCCGGAAGAGGCGAGUGGAACUCCUGGUGUAGCGGUGGAAUGCGCAGAUAUCGGCAAGAACACCAGUGGCGAAGGCGG
rnacentral:rRNA from 1 species